rnacentral:snoRNA from 1 species
GAAACCGCCUUGAUGAAACAUUCCGGAUGUAAAUUUUGUCAUUUUCCGAGAGCGCAAAACCAAGUGGACACUUUCCGUUGCCUUCCUUCUGAGCCC